UUCCAGUUCAGCGAUUUCUGAUUCCUGAAUCUAUGGAACCCUAGAACCCUGGCUCUUUUAUUUACUCCAGUAACAUACAAGCCUGGAACUUAGGCCAGUAUUUAAGUGUCCAAUGACAUGAAACAUUCUACUUCUCUUAAGUGUGUGAAAUCUUUUUGAGGUCCUUGCUUUGGUGAAUGCAACUGAAGAAUGCACUUCUUAGAAACACAGUCGCUUCAAUUCAUCCUUGCUUUUCCUGACACAGGAAGACAUUGCUCACAAAGUGUGACAACCAGUAACCAGCUGGUCAUCUUGAGCCAGUCAUGCUAGACAACCAGCACCCCCAGUCGGUCAUCUUGAGCCAGUCAUGCUAGACAACCAGCACCCCCAGCCGGUCAUGCUAGACAACCAGCAACCAGCCGGUCAUCUUGCGCCAGAUAACAGUAACCAGCCAGUCAUCUUGAGCCAGAUAACAGUAACCAGCCGGUCAUCUUGAGCCUGUCAUGCUAGACAACCAAGAAGUUGCCAGGAAUGCGCAUUCUUGCAAGCCUGCAGUAAUCAUGUAGUGGAAUAGCAGAGGUUUCAGUUUGUUAGACAGCAGUGGCCUCCAUCGCCAUGGAAACAGCUAUUUCCAGAAAUCCAUGCAAGUUCUCAGUUUUCAUAAAAAAGUAAAUGCAAACAAUUGUUCGUUGCUUAUCAGAAUGGUCUAUCAUCACACUAUGCCUUAAGUUGUGACCGAACCUUACACAAGGUGUCGCAAGUUACGUUAAAUAAACUGGCCUAAUUUCAAGAUGUA